GGGAACGUGCCUUCGGGAACUGUGAGACAGGUGCUGCAUGGCUGUCGUCAGCUCGUGUUGUGAAAUGUUGGGUUAAGUCCCGCAACGAGCGCAACCCUUAUCCUUUGUUGCCAGCGGUCCGGCCGGGAACUCAAAGGAGACUGCCAGUGAUAAACUGGAGGAAGGUGGGGAUGACGUCAAGUCAUCAUGGCCCUUACGACCAGGGCUACACACGUGCUACAAUGGCAUAUACAAAGAGAAGCGACCUCGCGAGAGCAAGCGGACCUCAUAAAGUAUGUCGUAGUCCGGAUUGGAGUCUGCAACUCGACUCCAUGAAGUCGGAAUCGCUAGUAAUCGUGGAUCAGAAUGCCACGGUGAAUACGUUCCCGGGCCUUGUACACACCGCCCGUCACACCAUGGGAGUGGGUUGCAAAAGAAGUAGGUAGCUUAACCUUCGGGAGGGCGCUUACCACUUUGUGAUUCAUGACUGGGGUGAAGUCGUAACAAGGUAACCGUAGGGGAACCUGCGGUUGGAUCACCUCCUUA
rnacentral:rRNA from 1 species